AGUGAACGCUGGCGGUAGGCCUAACACAUGCAAGUCGAACGGCAGCACAGUAAGAGCUUGCUCUUACGGGUGGCGAGUGGCGGACGGGUGAGGAAUACAUCGGAAUCUACUUUUUCGUGGGGGAUAACGUAGGGAAACUUACGCUAAUACCGCAUACGACCUACGGUUGAAAUAAUUGCAUCUUCGUACCUUGCUCGAUUGAAUGUGUCGUUGUCGGAUUAGCUAGUUGGCGGGGUAAAGGCCCACCAAGGCGACGAUCCGUAGCUGGUCUGAGAGGAUGAUCAGCCACACUGGAACUGAGACACGGUCCAGACUCCUACGGGAGGCAGCAGUAGGGAAUAUUGGACAAUGGGCGAAAGCCUGAUCCAGCAAUACCGCGUGGGUGAAGAAGGUCUUCGGGUUGUAAAGCCCUUUUGUUGGGAAAGAAAAGCAGCAGGUUAAUACCCCGCUGUUCUGACGGUACCCAACGAGUAAGCACCGGCUAACUUCGUG
rnacentral:rRNA from 1 species